rnacentral:piRNA from 1 species
GAGCCACUGUGUGGAUGCUGCAGCUG